UGCAGAGUGGGCAUGCCGCAUCACAAGGGCCACCCAGAACUGGCUCAACUUCCAUCAAGCCAAGUUCUCGGAGGAGAUCACCCAGCUCAUCAUGCUAGAGCAUGUUUUCAAUGGGCUCCCCAAAGACAAGGCGACGACGCAUUUGUAUGUCAUCCAUAUCAACUUUCGAUGCCAUUUACUGCGCCUACCAUGCUGACCACGGGUAAUCAGGGUUCAAUUCGUGAGAGGAAGCCUGAGAACCGGCUACCACAUGCAAGGAAGGCAGCAGGCGCGCAAAUGACCCACUCCCGACGCGGGAAGGUAGUGACG